UGAGUUAUUCGUAAAUAUGUGUGCGUGAGGUAAAUUUGAAAGUGUAUUAUUUAUUUUCUAACCCAUUAUUAUUUUAGAUUUCGGACCCGGCUUUGUAUUUUUAUUCGCCGUUUUUGUGUGAUUUUGAUUGCAUCGUGUUUUCCACGACCACCAGUUUAUUAUUAUUUAAAUAAAACUUAUAAUCGCAUUGACUUUAUAUAUUAGGUAGUACGCAAAAUAUGACUCUUAUGUAAUCACGUGUAAACGACUAAAGAUACGGGGGUAAGCCUUCCUUGCGGAGUAUGAGGGAGAAAGUUGCAGCGCAGAAUUAUGAUCCGAUUGGAAGAAUUAAAAGAAUUAAACUAACCCGUUGUGUCACAAGCCAACAACACUUAGUGGAUUAUGUUCCACAGGAACUCCUUUCAAAAGUAUAUUUCUUGUCUGUAUUUGCGAUGGAAUGCUCAACAUUUUGUUUUUAAUUAAACACAAAUCAAUUUAAUGAAUAAUUUAAUAAAAUGUGUACCUAUUACAUUGACAA